rnacentral:rRNA from 1 species
AACGAACGCUGGCGGCAGGCUUAACACAUGCAAGUCGAGCGCCCCGCAAGGGGAGCGGCAGACGGGUGAGUAACGCGUGGGAAUCUACCCAUCUCUACGGAAUAACGCAUGGAAACGUGUGCUAAUACCGUAUACGUCCUUCGGGAGAAAGAUUUAUCGGAGAUGGAUGAGCCCGCGUUGGAUUAGCUAGUUGGUGGGGUAAAGGCCUACCAAGACGACGGUCCAUAGAUGGUCUGAGAGGAUGAACAGCGACACUGGAACGGAGACACGGCCCAGACUCCUAAGGGAGGAAGCAAUGGGGAAUAUUGGACAAUGGGCGCAAGCCUGAGCCAGCCAUGCCGCGUGAGUGAUGAAGGCCCUAGGGUUGUAAAGCCCUUUCACCGGUGAAGAUAAUGACGGUAACCGGAGAAGAAGCCCCGGCUAACUUCGUGCCAGCAGCCGCGGUAAGAC